AUGUUCUCUGUAGUUCCUCUGCUGCUUCUGGCUGCUGGAUCCUGUGUGAAGUGUGAACAACUGACACAGCCAGACUCUGUGAGUCUGCAGCCAGGUCAGAGACUGACCAUCACCUGUCAGGUCUCUUAUUCUGUGAGUGACUCCAGGACAGCUUGGAUCAGACAGCCUGCAGGGAAAGGACUGGAGUGGAUUGGUAGCGAACGUGUUGGAUACACCAGCUACUACAAAGAUUCACUGAAGGACAAGUUCAGUAUGACUUUGGACUCUUCCAACAACAGAGUGACUCUAAAUGGACAGAACAUGCAGCCUGAAGACACUGCUGUGUAUUUCUGUGCCAAAGAGUUACAGUGA